GUCUGGAAAGGCGCGCGAUACAGGGUGACAGCCCCGUACACAAAAAUGCAUAUACUGUGAGCUCGAUGAGUAGGGCGGGACACGUGGUAUCCUGUCUGAAUAUGGGGGGACCAUCCUCCAAGGCUAAAUACUCCUGACUGACCGAUAGUGAACCAGUACCGUGAGGGAAAGGCGAAAAGAACCCCGGCGAGGGGAGUGAAAAAGAACCUGAAACCGUGUACGUACAAGCAGUGGGAGCCUCUUUUAUGGGGUGACUGCGUACCUUUUGUAUAAUGGGUCAGCGACUUAUAUUCUGUAGCAAGGUUAACCGAAUAGGGGAGCCGAAGGGAAACCGAGUCUUAACUGGGCGUUAAGUUGCAGGGUAUAGACCCGAAACCCGGUGAUCUAGCCAUGGGCAGGUUGAAGGUUGGGUAACACUAACUGGAGGACCGAACCGACUAAUGUUGAAAAAUUAGCGGAUGACUUGUGGCUGGGGGUGAAAGGCCAAUCAAACCGGGAGAUAGCUGGUUCUCCCCGAAAGCUAUUUAGGUAGCGCCUCGUGAAUUCAUCUCCGGGGGUAGAGCACUGUUUCGGCAAGGGGGUCAUCCCGACUUACCAACCCGAUGCAAACUGCGAAUACCGGAGAAUGUUAUCACGGGAGACACACGGCGGGUGCUAACGUCCGUCGUGAAGAGGGAAACAACCCAGACCGCCAGCUAAGGUCCCAAAGUCAUGGUUAAGUGGGAAACGAUGUGGGAAGGCCCAGACAGCCAGGAUGUUGGCUUAGAAGCAGCCAUCAUUUAAAGAAAGCGUAAUAGCUCACUGGUCGAGUCGGCCUGCGCGGAAGAUGUAACGGGGCUAAACCAUGCACCGAAGCUGCGGCAGCGACGCUUAUGCGUUGUUGGGUAGGGGAGCGUUCUGUAAGCCUGUGAAGGUGUGCUGUGAGGUAUGCUGGAGGUAUCAGAAGUGCGAAUGCUGACAUAAGUAACGAUAAAGCGGGUGAAAAGCCCGCUCGCCGGAAGACCAAGGGUUCCUGUCCAACGUUAAUCGGGGCAGGGUGAGUCGACCCCUAAGGCGAGGCCGAAAGGCGUAGUCGAUGGGAAACAGGUUAAUAUUCCUGUACUUGGUGUUACUGCGAAGGGGGGACGGAGAAGGCUAUGUUGGCCGGGCGACGGUUGUCCCGGUUUAAGCGUGUAGGCUGGUUUUCCAGGCAAAUCCGGAAAAUCAAGGCUGAGGCGUGAUGACGAGGCACUACGGUGCUGAAGCAACAAAUGCCCUGCUUCCAGGAAAAGCCUCUAAGCAUCAGGUAACAUCAAAUCGUACCCCAAACCGACACAGGUGGUCAGGUAGAGAAUACCAAGGCGCUUGAGAGAACUCGGGUGAAGGAACUAGGCAAAAUGGUGCCGUAACUUCGGGAGAAGGCACGCUGAUAUGUAGGUGAAGUCCCUCGCGGAUGGAGCUGAAAUCAGUCGAAGAUACCAGCUGGCUGCAACUGUUUAUUAAAAACACAGCACUGUGCAAACACGAAAGUGGACGUAUACGGUGUGACGCCUGCCCGGUGCCGGAAGGUUAAUUGAUGGGGUUAGCGGUAACGCGAAGCUCUUGAUCGAAGCCCCGGUAAACGGCGGCCGUAACUAUAACGGUCCUAAGGUAGCGAAAUUCCUUGUCGGGUAAGUUCCGACCUGCACGAAUGGCGUAAUGAUGGCCAGGCUGUCUCCACCCGAGACUCAGUGAAAUUGAACUCGCUGUGAAGAUGCAGUGUACCCGCGGCAAGACGGAAAGACCCCGUGAACCUUUACUAUAGCUUGACACUGAACAUUGAGCCUUGAUGUGUAGGAUAGGUGGGAGGCUUUGAAGUGUGGACGCCAGUCUGCAUGGAGCCGACCUUGAAAUACCACCCUUUAAUGUUUGAUGUUCUAACGUUGGCCCCUGAUCGGGGUUGCGGACAGUGUCUGGUGGGUAGUUUGACUGGGGCGGUCUCCUCCUAAAGAGUAACGGAGGAGCACGAAGGUUGGCUAAUCCUGGUCGGACAUCAGGAGGUUAGUGCAAUGGCAUAAGCCAGCUUGACUGCGAGCGUGACGGCGCGAGCAGGUGCGAAAGCAGGUCAUAGUGAUCCGGUGGUUCUGAAUGGAAGGGCCAUCGCUCAACGGAUAAAAGGUACUCCGGGGAUAACAGGCUGAUACCGCCCAAGAGUUCAUAUCGACGGCGGUGUUUGGCACCUCGAUGUCGGCUCAUCACAUCCUGGGGCUGAAGUAGGUCCCAAGGGUAUGGCUGUUCGCCAUUUAAAGUGGUACGCGAGCUGGGUUUAGAACGUCGUGAGACAGUUCGGUCCCUAUCUGCCGUGGGCGCUGGAGAACUGAGGGGGGCUGCUCCUAGUACGAGAGGACCGGAGUGGACGCAUCACUGGUGUUCGGGUUGUCAUGCCAAUGGCACUGCCCGGUAGCUAAAUGCGGAAGAGAUAAGUGCUGAAAGCAUCUAAGCACGAAACUUGCCCCGAGAUGAGUUCUCCCUGACUCCUUGAGAGUCCUGAAGGAACGUUGAAGACGACGACGUUGAUAGGCCGGGUGUGUAAGCGCAGCGAUGCGUUGAGCUAACCGGUACUAAUGAACCGUGAGGCUUAACCUU
rnacentral:rRNA from 1 species